CGGGGGAGGCCGGAUCCUGGGCUGUGUCCCGGCGCCCUGUGCUCCGGAGCCUGCGCUGUUGGAUUCGCGCUCCCGGCCCGCAGCCCCCU
rnacentral:pre_miRNA from 1 species